rnacentral:lncRNA from 1 species
AACACUAUUAUCUAAUAGUUCCAUGAACUGGGCUUAGCGUUUCUGACGGACUAUCUUAUUUCAUACUCACAACAAAUCUUUGAGGUAGGUUACUAUUAUUGUGCCCAUUUUACAGAUAAGGAAACUGAUUCAUUUAAGACUUCAAGAGGUUCAGUCAGUCCACAAAAAUUUAUUGAGCGCCUUUUAGAUUCCACCCUCUGC